UCCGGUUUGUCACCGGCAGUCUCCGAUGAGUCCCCAACUGAAUGCUGGCAACAUCGGACAGGGGUUGCGCUCGUUGCGCCACUUAAGGCAACACCUCACGGCACGAGCUGACGACAGCCAUGCAGCACCUGUGCGGGCUCCCGAAGGAGGACCGUGUUUCCACGGCUUCACCCCGCAUGUCAAGCCCUGGUAAGGUUCUUCGCGUUGCGUCGAAUUAAACCACAUGCUCCACCGCUUGUGCGGGUCCCCGUCAAUUCCUUUGAGUUUUAACCUUGCGGCCGUACUCCCCAGGCGGUCAACUUCACGCGUUAGCUUCGUUACCAAGGAAUUACUUCCCCGACAACCAGUUGACAUCGUUUAGGGCGUGGACUAC
rnacentral:misc_RNA from 1 species